CUACUCAAUGUUUUCAGGACAUUAUUCAUUAUGUUGAUCCUAAAGUUCAACAGAAGGAUUCUCAACAAUCUGAUUAUGUUUACAAAAAUUUAAAGGACCAGGUUUAAAACUCAUUUCUCUUGUUUAUUGGUGUUAAUUCAUGUUCAUUUAUUCCAUUUUUGAUUCUUUUGUUUUAUUCUUGUUGUUUUUAUACCUGGUUUAUAACUAAUUUUAAUAUUGUAUUUUUUAUUUUGUUAACAGGUUGAGCCUGGUAAUGUUGCGUUUGUGGGUGCUAAAUUUGGAACUGGUUCCGAAGUUCCAGUUGAUGCACCUAACAAACCAGAGGUUAAGAAAUCCCGUGCUAAGAAGAAGAAGGUGAGUUUCUUAACUGGUUAUGUUAUUGUUGUUGUAUUUUAACUGGUUUUUUUUUAUUAUAGAAAUGUGUUUUUAAUUGUUUAUUGUAUGUAAUUUAGUUUGGGAAAUUUGAUAAUCUAUGCUAAAAAAUUAAACAUGGUGUUUAAUUAUCCCAAAUUAUAACACAUAAAAAAAAUAUACCUAUGUUUCAAUUGUCUUCCAAAAAUACCCCCAUCAUUUCAAUUCCCCCCAAUCUCUCUAACUUCCUUCUCUCUCCUGUCUCUCUUCCUUUCUCGGUUCAAACUCAGCCAACCCAACCACCGCACCAUUGUCUCCCUCUCUCUCCUCACCACCGCACCAUUAUCACCACCGCUCGACCCAGACGACAGACGAACCUAGCCGACCCACACGACCCACGAACCCAGUCGACCCACACCACCCACGAACCCAGUCGACUCACGAACAGUCGAACCCAACGCACGCCGUCCACCCACACGACCCACACGAACGGCGAACCCAACGCACGCAGUCGACCCACCUCAUUGCAGUCGACCCACACGACCCACACGAGACCCACUCCGAGGAGAAAUCGUCCCAAGCACAAUCCACGAACCAGAUGGCUCCAGAACUCAUUCUCCCCUUGGCUGAGCAUUUUCCUGGGCGUAUCACUUACCGCGGAAAUGGGUACUUUGCUUCUAUUAAAGCAAAGUUUGAAGCCUUUAACCUGACCGAGAGGGUGAAGGAAACUCCUUUUGGAGUUUUUUGGAAUGCGAAUGAACUGAAAUUCUCCGGGGUGAUUGUGCAUCAACUACUGUUGAGGAAAAUGAAAGUGACUGAGGUGAAGAAUGAUGAAGUGUGGUUUUACGUGGGUAAAACCGAGGCCAGAUUUGGAAGGUCUGAGUUUGGAUUGAUCACGGGACUGAAGAUGAGCGGUGGCCCCUCGACUGAAGAAUUGACUACACUAUGUGAGUCUGAUCGGAUAUUGCGGGACUACCUUAAUAAUGCCAAACGGGUCACUUUCAAAACCCUUUGGCUAGCUUUUGAGGCGUGCGAUGUGGCCGACGACGUGUACAAGCUGGGGCUGUGUGCAUUUGUUGAAGGAGUGCUACUAUCAAGGGCUGAGGGUGUUUAUAUAUGGUCGGAUAUGCUGAAGUUAGUAGAAAACGAGGAGAAGUUCUUCGAAUAUCCGUGGGGCCUUCUUUCAUAUCAGAAGUUGUUGUCAUCCACAGCCAAAAGUAUGACUGACCUGAGGAAGAACUACCUUGAUAAAUCUACUAAGGAUAAGAAGAAAGGGAAGAAGGAGAAAAAAAUUACUCAACCAGAGGCGAAGUACAAUGUCUACGGAUAUGCACCGGCGCUACAAUACUGGGCCUUUGAGGUGAUGCAAGAUUUGGGGAAGAAGCACGGGCAGUGCAGAGGGACUAGAUUCCCUCGAAUGUUGAAUUGGAGCACCCCCAACACAGUUACGAAACAUGAUGUCAAGCAACCUGAUGUCGCUACCCUAUUCGAGAAAAGGAUGGUUGUUCUUCAAAUUCUGUAUCCUAGGAAUUGGGAGGUGGACUAUUGGAAGAGCAAUUGUGAGGGUGAGGUCCCCACGGUGGAAAUGGGGUUGGAUGAGGUCGAAGAAACGCAAGUCGGGGCGCAAGAUUCGACCGCAUUCCAGACCCAAGCCGAACGGGUGGCGGAUUAUGUGAAAAAGUCCAAAAUUAUUUCACCAUCCCCACCCAAAGAAGCACCAGACGCCUCCACAUCUGCCACCGUGCCCCCAACGCCUGCCACUGUGCCCCCAAGCUCUGCUCCAGCCAACGACUCCAACUACCUCUUGUUGGCUAAGAGGUUGGAGAAGGUAGAAGCGCAACAAGUUGCGAUUCUGACUGCGCAGACUGAGAUGAAGGCUGACUUCAAGAGAAGUCAGAAAGAGAUGAAGAAUCUUAUCAUGGAUCAAAUUGCGACCGUGAUAAGUUUGUUACAGAAGCAGCCUUCGGAGCCGACACAACCAUCAGGGCCGGCACAGCAAUCAGACCCCACAUAUCCAUCAGACACGGCAGAGCCAUUACAGACGGUACAUCCAUCACCGCCGACAUAUGAUGAUGAUGAUGAUGUCUACCCAGAAGAUUGGCAACCUGACGCAUGUGACGUUCCUUCUACUCCUGCAAACGCCAUUGUCAUUUCGCUGGGUGAUACUGAAUCUCAGGAUGUGGAAGAGUUGCAGGGGCCACCAGAUGGAGUGGAGUUCUGUAGGCUUAGGCGAAAGCGCAAGCCGGUUUUCUUGAAUGACUACACUGCUGGGAAGAAGAAACAACGACAUGGGCCCGUGGUAGUAGACACCCUGAAACCGGCGGACGCCCGGCUGUUAAAAUUUUUCCAGAAGUGGAUCACUUAUGCUAGGGACAAUGGCCGUCCUAGGGAUGUUCACACUGGCGAAGCCACUAGAUCGUGGUUCGUGAAGUUGAUGGUGCUGAACGAAUGGCUCGAAGAUGAUCAAAUUGAUGCCAUGGCGCACUUGUUGAGAAGAAGACGGACCCUGUACCCAGAAGUCUACACCCGAAAAGGUGUAGUUUUGGACACAUCUGCUCCACAGUUCUUUUCCAUGUUUUGGAAUAUGUGUGAGGGUGACAGGAGCAAGAUGAAAUGGGAUGAGGGCGUCAUGAGUUACGUGCAGGGGAUAUCGCACAGAUACUUGCCAUGUUGGGAGAAGCAGGAGUACAUAUACUUUGUAUUGCACCUUCCCAAAGAGCGCCACUGGGUGGCAGUUGAGGUGGAUAUCGAGAACUGGGAGAUCAUUGUAUAUGAUUCUGAUAUCGGUGCCACCGUUGAGGCAGCCAUGGAGUCAUAUUUGAAGCCUUAGAGCGAGCUCUUUGCAAAUCUAAUUCGAGAUAGCGGUUAUUUCCAAUACAACAAUUAUGUACAUCCGGUGGAGUUGGGCGAUCUCAGUCAGCUCCUACCCCUCCAUUAUAGACGAGCUACCUCGGAGGUUGUACCACAAACGAAGAGCAGUGGCAAUUGUGGAAUGUAUGCCAUGGAGCACAUUGAGCACUUGAUGUUGGAUCGGUCGUUGGAGCAUGUGCAUGAUGAUAACAUGCUCACCUUUAGACAUAGGUGGUGUGUGGACCUAUUUUACCAGAACUUAACGUGGUAGUUUUUUGUAGGUUUUUGCAAUGUUAAUCUUGUACACAUAAACUCCCCUUUUGUAAUUGUAUUAUAAUCUCACCAAAUUUAUAUAUAACAAGUAAAUUUAAAGCUAUUUAAAUUGUUGCUUGUAUCAAUUUAUUUCUUUUUUAAAUUUUUGAUAAAUACUGUGAAAA